AGCGAACGCUGGCGGCGUGCUUAACACAUGCAAGUCGAACGAUGAAGCUGGAGCUUGCUCCGGUGGAUUAGUGGCGAACGGGUGAGUAACACGUGAGCAAUCUGCCCUUGACUCUGGGAUAACUGCGGGAAACUGUAGCUAAUACCGGAUACGAGACCUGAAGGCAUCUUCGGGUCUGGAAAGAAUUUCGGUCAAGGAUGAGCUCGCGGCCUAUCAGCUUGUUGGUGAGGUAAUGGCUCACCAAGGCGACGACGGGUAGCCGGCCUGAGAGGGUGACCGGCCACACUGGGACUGAGACACGGCCCAGACUCCUACGGGAGGCAGCAGGGGGGAAUAUUGCACAAUGGGCGAAAGCCUGAUGCAGCAACGCCGCGUGAGGGAUGAAGGCCUUCGGGUUGUAAACCUCUUUUAGCAGGGAAGAAGCGAAAGUGACGGUACCUGCAGAAAAAGCACCGGCUAACUACGUGCCAGCCGCCGUAACAC
rnacentral:rRNA from 1 species